rnacentral:rRNA from 1 species
GAUGAACGCUGACAGAAUGCUUAACACAUGCAAGUCAACUUGAAUUUGGGUUUUUAACUUAGAUUUGGGUGGCGGACGGGUGAGUAACGCGUAAAGAACUUUGCCUCACAGCUAGGGACAACAUUUAGAAAUGAAUGCUAAUACCUGAUAUUAUGAUUUUAGGGCAUCCUAGGAUUAUGAAAGCUAUAUGCACUGUGAGAGAGCUUUGCGUCCCAUUAGCUAGUUGGAGAGGUAACGGCUCACCAAGGCGAUGAUGGGUAGCCGGCCUGAGAGGGUGAUCGGCCACAAGGGGACUGAGACACGGCCCUUACUCCUACGGGAGGCAGCAGUGGGGAAUAUUGGACAAUGGACCAAGAGUCUGAUCCAGCAAUUCUGUGUGCACGAUGAAGUUUUUCGGAAUGUAAAGUGCUUUCAGUUGGGAAGAAAAAAAUGACGGUACCAACAGAAGAAGUGACGGCUAAAUACGUGCCAGCAGCCGCGGUAAUACGUAUGUCACAAGCGUUAUCCGGAUUUAUUGGGCGUAAAGCGCGUCUAGGUGGUUAUGUAAGUCUGAUGUGAAAAUGCAGGGCUCAACUCUGUAUUGCGUUGGAAACUGUGUAACUAGAGUACUGGAGAGGUAAGCGGAACUACAAGUGUAGAGGUGAAAUUCGUAGAUAUUUGUAGGAAUGCCGAUGGGGAAGCCAGCUUACUGGACAGAUACUGACGCUGAAGCGCGAAAGCGUGGGUAGCAAACAGG